rnacentral:rRNA from 1 species
CCUACGGGGGGCAGCAGUGGGGAAUAUUGGACAAUGGGGGGAACCCUGAUCCAGCCAUGCCGCGUGUGUGAAGAAGGCCCUCGGGUUGUAAAGCACUUUCAGUGAGGAAGAACGCCUGGUGGUUAAUACCCAUCAGGAAAGACAUCACUCACAGAAGAAGCACCGGCUAACUCCGUGCCAGCAGCCGCGGUAAUACGGAGGGUGCGAGCGUUAAUCGGAAUUACUGGGCGUAAAGCGCGCGUAGGUGGCUUGAUAAGCCGGUUGUGAAAGCCCCGGGCUCAACCUGGGAACGGCAUCCGGAACUGUCAAGCUAGAGUGCAGGAGAGGAAGGUAGAAUUCCCGGUGUAGCGGUGAAAUGCGUAGAGAUCGGGAGGAAUACCAGUGGCGAAGGCGGCCUUCUGGACUGACACUGACACUGAGGUGUGAAAGCGUGGGUAGCAAACAGGAUUAGAUACCCCAGUAGUC